rnacentral:rRNA from 1 species
GACGAACCGUGCAAACGUUAUUCGGAAUCACUGGGCUUAAAGGGCGCGUAGGCGGGUCGGCCAGUCUGCGGUGAAAUCCUCCAGCUUAACUGGAGAACUGCCGUGGAUACUGCCGGCCUCGAGGAGGGUAGGGGCAUCUGGAACAGCCGGUGGAGCGGUGAAAUGCGUUGAUAUCGGCUGGAACUCCGGUGGCGAAGGCGAGAUGCUGGACCCUUUCUGACGCUGAGGCGCGAAAGCCAGGGGAGCGAACGGG